GUGUGUGUGUUACAUUGUGCCAUUUCUCCUGGCUGUGUGCAUUGCCAGUGUUUCUAAAGUGUGUUAAGAUGCAUUUGGGUUGUUCUGUCACUAGCUGGCAGUCCAGAUCUGGGUACGCCAGGGUCAGACCCGGCCCUGAUGAGGCCCAGACCCGGCCCAGAUGAUGAGGCCCAGACCCGGUCCUGAUGAGGCCCAGACCCCUGCUCUAUGGGAGGUGAGCUGAUUUCCCUGUUGGGCCGCGGCUUUAAAUGAGGUCCACACACUGCAAACAGGAGCCCAUGCCUCUCCUGCAGGAGACUAUAUUACUGAACCCGCAGAGUCGGACAGGAGCCCCACGCCUGACCAUCAUUUAAACCCAUUCCAUUUGUGUGCAAGAAAGAGAGAGAGAGAGAGAGGGAUAGAGGCAGAGAGAGGGAGAGAGAGAGGGAUAGAGGCAGAGAGAGGGAGAGAGAGAGAGAG
ensembl:lncRNA